UCUACGGGAGGCAGCAGUAGGGAAUCUUCGGCAAUGGACGAAAGUCUGACCGAGCAACGCCGCGUGAGUGAAGAAGGUUUUCGGAUCGUAAAACUCUGUUGUUAGAGAAGAACAAGGACGUUAGUAACUGAACGUCCCCUGACGGUAUCUAACCAGAAAGCCACGGCUAACUACGUGCCAGCAGCCGCGGUAAUA
rnacentral:rRNA from 1 species